rnacentral:lncRNA from 7 species
GUGGACCCAGUAAAUGGGACUGGCUGUUGCAACCUGCUGGUGGCACUUGAGACAAGCUGUGGGGCAGUGGGAGCCCACUGUGGGGAGUGGGAAAUAGCUCUGGGCUCCCCAUGAAGUCAAUACCUGGCAGCAGCUUCACUGCAGGCACAGCACAACCAAGUCCAGCUCCUGCACUUCCCAACUGCAUCAUCAUAGGCUUCAGCACUGGACCAAUCCUGAAGGCUCAUAGGGGGCUGGCUGGUUUACAGAUGGAUGAACUCAUUGAGAACCCUAGCACCUGAGCCCUGAGUUCAAUUUAAUAUUGUAGCCUACAGCACUUUGCCGCUACUGCAUGCAACCUCAUGACAAGAAUUACUGAAGGAAGGUCUCUGCAAUGAAGGAGCCAAACGUCUUCUGUUCCUUGCAGUAGAAAUGGCAAACAUCCAUGAGCAGAGAUGGCCGGGGUCUCCAGCCCUGGCUGGCUGUUACAAUGAGGAAUCAAAAUCUACCAGCAGGCAACAGGCAGGCACUCUCCUCAGGAAGUAACUCAGCACUCGGAUGCUUCUUCUGAAGAUUGUGUGCCUGAACUUCCCCUUUCAAGGGCUGCUUAUCUUAUCAGCUGGGUUAAAGCGCAUUCACCAUGAGGUGGGACAUCUUCAUUCCCAGAUCUCCCUCCAGCCUUGUCCUCCCUUCAUCUGUCAGCCUUCAGCUCUCCUCUUAACCCUCUCUCUGAGCAGUCUCUGUCUCCAACACCUCACCAAGCACUUGUCCUCUGUGGGGUGUCACUCAGACCCCUCAGGCCGUGGGACGGGAUAAAUCUUGCAGUUUGCCAAGAGCUGAUGUACUUGUGCUCUUUUGCAGCCUCUGCUUAUUGCCUUAAACAUGUAACAGCAUAGGCUGUGGUUGUAAAAAUACUUCAGAAACAAAGAGCUGGGCCCUAAUAAUUCAUUAGGUUUCCUAAACGUGACUUAAUAGACAGGGUACUUACACAUUUAUAUAGCAACAAUUAUUUUAAUACUGAUGUUUGAUAACUAUGAAAUUGUUUUGUCGCAAUCUCCCUAUGCUUGCAAAUCAGCAAUUACUUUUAAUAAUUCACAAUGAAGCUCAUUAAGU